AUCACCUCUUGGCCUUUUGGCUAAGAUCAAGUAUAGUAUCUGUUCUUAUCAGUUUAAAAUACGCAUCAAGGGGCACUUGGCUGGCUCAGUGGGUUAAGCCUCUGCCUUCAAUUCAGGUCAUGAUCUCAGGGUUCUGGGAUCAAGCCCUACAUGGGGCUCUCUGCUCACCGGGGAGCCUGCUUCCUCCU
rfam:Mustela putorius furo unplaced genomic scaffold scaffold00054, whole genome shotgun sequence.